GCAGUCGUGGCCGAGUGGUUCAGGCGUCUGUUUUGAAAUCAGAUUCUCUCUGGGAGCAUAGGUUCGAGUCCCACCGACUGCG
rnacentral:tRNA from 1 species